rnacentral:tRNA from 1 species
CGACCAACUGGGCCGCGCGGGCUGGCGUGUUAUUGCCAUGCACCGGGCGAGUUCCAAUCUUGCUUAUUUGUC